rnacentral:rRNA from 1 species
UACGUAGGGGGCUAGCGUUGUCCGGAAUCAUUGGGCGUAAAGAGCGCGUAGGCGGCCAGAUAAGUCCGGUGUGAAAGUCACAGGCUCAACCUGUGAAUGCCGCUGGAAACUGUCUGGCUAGAGUCCGGAAGGGGCGAGUGGAAUUCCUGGUGUAGCGGUGAAAUGCGCAGAUAUCAGGAAGAACACCUAUGGCGAAGGCAGCUCUCUGGGACGGUACUGACGCUGAGACGCGAAAGCGUGGGGAGCGAACAGG